GAUGGAGAACCACUCCAACCCCUCGCUGCCCGCGACCGCCGCCAUCACGUAGAACUUCUGCACCACGAACACGCAUCCUGCUGCCACCUCCUUGUCCAUGAUGGUGGCGCCGUUGACUCCGCUGAUCUGAACUUGUCCGCUGCCUCUGGUGAUGUACACGAGCUGGAUGUCGGGGAAGAACCCCGGGACGCGCAUGGCGUUGGGCUCGAGCUUGGUGAUGUUGAUGGAGAACCUGAACCGCCCUUCCAGGGCGGCGAGGUUGUCCUUGGUCAUCGACACGACGUGGCCGCCACAGGGGACGUGGUUGCUGAACCGGGCGCUGUCCUCGUGCAGGACGAUCCCGUGGCGGUCGCGGUCGUGAGUCUUGACGCACAGCUUCUUCUCCGGUUUGAUGAUCUGGAUGCCGGCCUGGCUCGAGAAGAGCUUGGCCGCCGCUUCUUGGCUCACUCCGCUGGCCUU
rnacentral:lncRNA from 1 species